CGGGUAGCUACUACAAAUUACUCAUUCUCUAAUCCAAACUCAAAACACAUUUAAAACUUUCACAAACUCCGCAAGAAAUGAAUUCUUCAUCUGAAGAACCCCAUCUUUCACCAAAAACAGUAACAACAAAAACAGCAGUUACAUCAACAACAACAACAAUAAUUCAGUUUGAAACAGUAGUUGAUGAUUGGGAUAAACCCUUCUCAAAUGAAGAGUUAGACGCCAUUGAAGCAGCUUUCGAAGCAGCAACAUCAACUACUGUAACUAUAAAAUCUUCUUCAUCCACCUCAUCUUCGUUGAAAACCCCACGUAGCAGCUCUUCUGCUAAUAACGAAGAAGACGACUCCAAUGGCAGAACCAAAUUUCGGCGUCGAUUGCCGGGUUCUAUUUCCUGCUCAAAUGGCGAACUGGGUUCGCCUCAAACUUCAAGAUCUUUCACUCUAACACCUUGUUAUGGUAUUCGGAAUUUCCAACAAGGUAAUGUGAAGAUGAAGUAUCCUGCAAUGAAUUUUGGGGGCCGCAUUGUGUAUUCGCGGACGAUGGAGGAGGUGGAAGAAGCUACAUUGCAGAUUUUGAAGAUGUUGGAGGCUAAGAAGCGCGAGACUGGCAGGGCUGUGAUUGGACUUGAUAUAGAGUGGAAGCCUAGCUUCGUUCGAGGUAUUCCCCAGGGUAAAGCUGCAGUCAUGCAAAUAUGUGGGGAUAUGACUCACUGUUAUGUAUUGCAUAUUAUUCAUUCUGGAAUCCCUGGCAGCCUGCAAUCUCUUCUGGAAGAUUCUGAGUUUAUCAAGGUUGGAGUUGGUAUUGACAAUGACGCUGUUAAGGUUUUCCAUGAUCAUAAUGUGUCUAUUAAAGCUGUGGAAGAUCUCUCCAUUCUGGCCAAUCAAAAGCUUGGUGGAUUAAAGCAGUGGAGUCUCUCUUCACUGGUUGAAACGUUUACUUGCAAACAACUCCUGAAGCCUAAGAAGAUUAGACUAGGAAACUGGGAAGCUGAUUUUCUUUCAAAGCCACAGUUAAAGUAUGCAGCAACAGAUGCAUUUGCUUCUUGGAAUCUCUAUGAGGUGCUGAAGAGUUACCCAGAUUUACCCCAGAAUAAACCUGAAAACUAAGACCUUAAAAAGCUUCAGGGAUUAAAACUCGCGAGCCAUCUCUGUGCAGUGUGCAUCAACAACUGUAUGGACAUGUGAAGGUUCUCCACAAAAACUGAAUUAAGAUGCCACAACCAGUUAUUAUCUAGCUGAUGAGGACUGGCUCUGGCUGUAAGACUGGGACAGCAAAUGGUGAACCCAACCUAUAGGAAAACCUUCAGUCGAAAACUUGGCGAAAAUCCAAUUAGAAAUCACUAAUACCCACCCAACCUUGAAAUUUCAGAGAGAUCAGAUUAUGAGAAUAGAAAUCAUUACAUUAUUAUUGUAAUUAAUUACAUUAUUAUUGUAAUUAAUUAUUCGAAACGAAGCUUGUUAAUAUCGUAUCAGUUAAUCAUAUAUUUAUUUUUUUGGUGCGGUGUGGCUGGUGGUGUGGGGGACUGGAGGGUGGUCCUCUUUCUUGGGAAAAACCAUCCCAUGUUUAGCUUGAUAAAUCAUAAAUCAAUAAGAAUUCAAUGUACUUGUAAUCUGAAAUUGAAUGUGCCAUUGAUGAUUCCUCUGAAGAUACUAGUGUUUCUGAAUCUGGGUUUUUUCACCCUCUGAA